CCUACGGGGGGCUGCAGUGGGGAAUAUUGGACAAUGGGGGCAACCCUGAUCCAGCCAUGCCGCGUGUGUGAAGAAGGCCCUCGGGUUGUAAAGCACUUUCAGUGAGGAAGAACGCCUGGUGGUUAAUACCCAUCAGGAAAGACAUCACUCACAGAAGAAGCACCGGCUAACUCCGUGCCAGCAGCCGCGGUAAUACGGAGGGUGCGAGCGUUAAUCGGAAUUACUGGGCGUAAAGCGCGCGUAGGUGGCUUGAUAAGCCGGUUGUGAAAGCCCCGGGCUUAACCUGGGAACGGCAUCCGGAACUGUCAAGCUAGAGUGUAGAAGAGGAAGGUAGAAUUCCCGGUGUAGCGGUGAAAUGCGUAGAGAUCGGGAGGAACACCAGUGGCGAAGGCGGCCUUCUGGACUGACACUGACACUGAGGUGCGAAAGCGUGGGUAGCAAACAGGAUUAGAUACCCGAGUAGUC
rnacentral:rRNA from 1 species